GUGAAGAAGAAUAUGAUGCCUCUAGUGAUGACGCCAUUGCGGGGGAACCUGAUCCUUAGAUGUUCACUCACAUUACCUGCAUUAUUCACUGUGUUGCUUGUACAUGAUUUGUUAUUGAGUAGUGGAAUUGAAAGACACAAAAUCUCAAGGUUGAAGGGAAAAAUUUUAACCUUUCUUUCUAUUCCAUGGACCAUGUUGGUUGUGUAAAUUGAUUUAUGAUUCAGAUAAUUACUUUUUCUGAUAUAAGGUUACAAUUUCUGAACGUUCAUCCUGGAUUUGCAUAUCAAUGCAUUUAUUAGAGUUUUAAUUAAACUUGUUCUCUCAUUCUCCUUUCUUUUAAAUUGAGUCGAAAUGGUUAUAUUUAAUCUUGGAAUUUAGCCGUUCUCUGACUGUAAUCAUUACUUUAUUGAAUUUAUGACAUAAAAUAAUCAAUAAAUGCAAUCUUAUAAAUAAAACAUAAUAAAAAUUAUGGUUGAUUAUUUCAGAAUGAAAAGAAUCACAUAAACCGAUAAAUUACUAUAUAGUUCAAAACAAACAUUUAAAGCACAUUCCCAUAGCAUAAAAAUUAUGGCCACUAGAAUGAGAUUGUGUAAUGCACAUAUUCAAAUAAAUAAUAGUAAUUAAUAAAUAUUAUAAAAUAAUCGAAAAAUAUUUUGUGAAAUAAUGAAACUUUAAUCAUAGGAAAAUAUACAUNUCUGUUGAUUCCUAUAGUUUUACCUAAUUUUUAAUUAGAUUUCUAUAUUUUUUUUUUCUUUUCAAUUAGGUCCUAUACAUUAUUUAUUUUUUCAAUUUAGUCAAAAUCGUAUGAGAUAACAGAAUAUUCUGUUUAAAAAUCGAAUAUUCUCGUCUUUGAAUUAAAAUAACUAAUUAAGCCCACUUCCAUUUUUUCAAAAUGCCAAAACUACCCUUAGCAUUUUGCCCCAAACUUAAUAACCCUAGGCAGUGCUUUCUCUCUGAAUCCAGUGGCGUUUCUCCACCGUUCAUCUGCGUCGUCGUCGUUUUCCUUGGCGGCGUGAGAGUCGGUCGUCAUGUUUGAUAAUGGUGAAGAGAAUGGUGAGGAUUGAAAGCUGUGAUGAAAAGGGUUAUUCAAUUGUGAGCAUAGAUUGUAAGGACCGUCCAAGACUCAUGUUUGAUACCGUUUGCACCUUAACGGAUAUGCAGUACGUCAUUUUCCAUGCUUCCAUUAGCUCCCAUGAAGCCUAUGCAUUUCAGGUAUUUAUAUAUGAUUCUCCUCAGUGAUCUUAAUGAUGAAUUAACUAGUUUAAUUAUUUUGGAAUUUGUUUAUAUAUAGGAGUAUUUCAUCAGGCAUAUAGACGGAUAUGCUUUGAACACAGCAAGCUAGAAAGAAAGAGUAAUUAACUGUUUAGAAGCAGCCAUAGAACGCCGGGUUUGUGAGGUAAUUAAUUAAACUCCACCAAUUACUCAUAAUUAAUUAGGUACUUAAGUAAUAAACAAUGAUUAUUGAAAUGCAGGGAGUUAGGCUAGAAUUGUGUGCAGACAACAGAAUAGGGUUGUUAUGCUUAUGCAUCAUUGCAUAUUAUAAUAGCUUAGUGCUGAUGUAAGUUCUAGUUUCUAGUUUCAAUUCAGAAACUAUUCCUAAUUUAUAAUAAUCUCCAGAAGUAGUUCUAUUAAUCACAUGGAUGAAAUAAACUUACAGUUGAUGCUACUAACAAUGAGGAAAUAAAAGACUUGGUAAAGACUUAGUAAAGCAAUUGAUCAAGCUCUUGAUAUUUCAGAAUUUCUGUUAAAUAUGAACAAGAUGAACUCAUUAAAUUCCAUACUUCCAGCAAAUCAAGUUUUACCACAAAGAAAAUCACAAAAUGGCUAAGAGGUUUUAUUUUUAUUUUGUCAUUUUCAACUUAUAUAUGAAUUACUAUUUCCGUUUUAAAAUAACUAUGGUUAAUUCAUCCAAAUUGGUACCAAAUUUGUACAGGGAUUUAGUGUUGAUUUUUUGAAUGCUGGAAACCUCAAAUCUCUUAGUCAAAAAGAACUUUUGAAGUGUUUGAAUUUAUUAGGACAUCAAUUGUUCAUUUUGUGGAACGAAUUUUUGAAAUUUCACAAUUUUGCUUUCUCAUCUUGUAUUAUUAUUAAUUUGAUGGUUGAUUCUUAAAUAAACAUGUAUGAUUAUAUUUGGUCCAAUGAUAUUCACUUGUUGAUAUUGUUUGACAUGGUUUAAUCCAUGAAUGUGCGGAAAAAAUUUUGGACUGUUGUCAUAUGUCUUGUUUGAGAAAAUUAUGUGCAGAGAAAAUUGGUUUUUUUUGUUUGAAAAACAAUAUAGAAAUUCUUUUUGUAAACAAUUUUAGUUAUUACUUUUUCACAAAGACGAUCCUGCCUUUGUUCCGAAAGCAGGCUAGCUAUUAUGCUUUGAUUGAAGCUUUUGGUGGAAAGAGCUAUCUUGUUGCUCUUUCAGAAUCCUUCUAGGUCGGAUACCGGCCGAUAUCAAUGUUAUUGUUGAUCCCUAUGCUAGUUUAAAGAGUGGGAGGCUGCAACACAAGAAUUGAUUUUCAGAUUAUCUGUAUUAUAUUAAAAUUACAUUUUCUAUGGUUUUCGUUUUUAGAUUUUACAUUUCAAUAACACAAAUACAUAAUAGCCUUGAGAUUUUCUAUGGUUUACAAAUUAUAUUCCAUGAAUCCACACAAAUGUAAAAUGUUACAUAAUCAUAAUGAAUACUUGAAUGAUAAAAGCUGAAUUUUAUAUAUACUUAUUACUACUAUUUCUGUUUUAUUUUAUCCAUUAUUUUUUUUUUUAUAUGUUCUUAAAAUAAGGUAUUUUAAAAGUCAAGAAAAAAAAGAAGGUAUUUUUAGUACAAUUUGUAUAUCAAUAAGCAAAAGAAUGAUAGUGACAAAAUAAAAGGGAUUAUAGGAAUAUUUUUCAUGUCGUAGAAUCAUUAAAUAGGGAUUAUAGUAAUAUCUUUCAUUGAAUAUUUAUAACUUUACUAAAUUUUCAAUUAGGUCCAUAUACUUUUUUUUCUUUUCAAUUAGGUCCCUAAGGGUAUACAAGUAAUUUCACAAUUCACUAACAUUUUUUUGACGUUUAACGUUAACAGGGAUUAAAUUGAAAAAAAAAUAAUGUGUAGGAACCCAAUUAAAAAGAAAAAAAGUAUAGGGAUCUAAUUGAAAAUUUGGUGAAACCAUAGGGACCUGCAAAGUAAUUAAACCUAUUAUAUAUUUGCAUAUAAAUAUUUAUAUUAUUUUAUUUUUAAUGUGUAUUUUAUAUUUUAAUAUGUAUUUUAUGGAAGUAAUUGUUUUGUUUGUGCACGUAGUAUCAUUGUAUCUUUAUUAAUUUCUAUUACAAAAUUAAAACUUCAUAUAUUUAUAUUAUCAAUUAUUUUAAUAAGUACAAAUAGAUUGCAUUUUUAUUGGAUAGAACUAAAAUAUAAAUAUUAAAAUAAAAUAAAAUAACAUUAGUUGACUAUUUGAAUCAGUUCAAAGUUAGCUUUUUAAAUUAGCAAUUAUUACUUCCAAUAAUUUUUUAGAUGUGAAUUGAUUUUUUAAGUAUUUUUGCUAGUAAUUUUAUAUAAUACUUUUUUAUUUUCUUAUUUUAAGUAUCUUAUAACAUGCAAUGCUUUACAUUGUUGAUUUUAUAACUCAUUUUGUUUACUGCUACUCCCUUGAGAGACUCCAAUAUUUUUUGACAUUCGUCAUUAUUAUUAUGACUUUAAAUAUUGUCUCUAGUGUCUAUAUGCAUGUAAAUUAUAUAUUUUAAAAAAUAUAAAUUGAAUAAUUUAAAAGACAAUUUAGAUUACUACAAAAAAAUUUUAGUUGUAUGAUUAAGUUUUUUAAUUAUUGUGAGAACUAUUACAAAAUAUGAAUUGAAUAGUUAAGAAAAUAUUAAUAUUGUUAAGAAAAAAUUUUAGUGGUAUGAAUUAUCUUGUUAAUUAUUAUAAAAACCAUUACAAGAAGUAGUGUUAAGAUUGAAACAAAUAUAUAUAUAUGCUUUGCUUCAUGAUAAAAUGACAUCUAUCCUAAUAUGCUUACAUGGCAAAAUUAUAAAGCAAUUUAUAUGUUAUUACUUGAACAUAAAAUAACUAUUACAAGAAGUAACAUUAAGAUUAAAUGGAAGAUAUAUAUGUUUAAUUUUAUAAUAAAAUGACAUAUAUCAUAAUAUAUUUAUAUGACAAUAAGCAAACUAAAAAAAAAUUAAAUAUCAAUUUUUUCCUUUGAUUAUUAAAAUAGAGCCAAUUAGCCGAUACAUAUUUGGUCCUCUGAUGAAUUUGGAAAAAUGUUUGUUGUACGUAAUCAUCUUAUGCAAAUAAAUAAUAAGGUAAAGUAUAUUUUUUAUUCCUAAAGUUUGAUAAAAGUUUUAAAAAUACCUCUAAGUUUUAUUUUGUUUCAAUUUUGUUUCAGAAAUUUUCGAUUUGCAUCAAAUAUAUCCCUGACAGCUAAUUUUUCAAAAAAUUUAAGACAUUUAAUAACAAUUUCAUAAGAACAACCCUCAAUACAAACAAAGCAAGCAUAAUUUUUAUGCAUUAUUGUUAAAUUGGUCUUAAAUUUUUUGAAAAUUUAGCCGUCGAGUGUAUAUUUGAUGCAAAUCGAAAACUUUUAGGACAAAAUUGAAAUAAAAUAAAACUUAGGGGUAUUUUUGAAACUUUUGCCAAACUUCAGGAACAAAAAGUAUACUUUACCCUAAAUAAUAUAUGAGAAAGUUUAGGAAUCGAUCGACUGAUCUAUCUAUCUAUCUAUAUAUCUAUAUUAGAAUUCUCGUAUAACCAUUGUCGACCGUUCUUAAAAAAUAAAAUUUAUUCAAUUCCAAAUUUCUUGAACGAUCAUGUGUUGAUGCUAAUUUUUUAGAGGUGGGUUGUAUUGUACUUUGAUUUGAAGAUAGGCUAAUUCUACCAUGUAGAAGAGAAAAAUUUUCAUGUGUAAAAAUAGACGUGUCUAGAUAUGCAAUCAUUGCUAAGUGCAGCAAUGAUAUCCUUUUACAGUGGGGUUAUUAUGCGUCCUUUAAGCCAGACAAGAGACGGACAAAAUGUGCAGUGUGAUAGAAGUUGCAGUUGGUUAGAAAGUUGUAGUUAGGAGAUUAAGCAGUGGGUUAAGCAAAUUUUAUUUAGAGAUAAUUGUAGUAGGUUAAAUGAGGUGAUGAUGUCAGCUGGGCCUGUCGGAUAAAUAGGAAAUUUGUUUGUGGAUGGGCUACAAAAAUUGCAAAAGUUGGGCCUAGGAAGUAGUGCGAUGUGAAGAAGAGAGCCAUGCUUGUGAUUAAGAUCCAGUAUGUGAUGAUAUGCGUCUUUUGGGCAUAUUUUGUUAAAAUCGGUAUAGUCCAUACACAUCCUUUACUUAUCAUUGUGUUUUUUAACCAUGACCACAUUUGCUAGCCAGCUGGUGAAUCUGAGUUCCUUUGUGAACCCAGCAUUGAGUAGUUUCUAGGUUUCUUCUAAGAAAGUUUUCCUCUUGUCUGUACCAAGGUGGCGUUUCUUUUGAGCUAUAGGUCGGAUUGCUGGGUUGAUGGCAUGUUUGUAGUAGAUGACAUUUGGGUCAAUGCCUGACAUGUCUGCCGGGGUCCAGACAAAAAGGUCGAUGUUUUGCUAUAGUAAUGUAAUAAGGUGUUCCUUUUCUUGCCCUUGUAAAGCAUCCCCAAUAUAGGUGUGUUUGUCUUCAUGGGUUGUCAAUUUUAUUUUCAUUAACGUGUCGGUAGGCAUAGGUCAGUCUUGCUAGUUUGGCCGAGGAUCCAUGUCUGCCAAAGCAGGCAGACUCUCUGAGUUAUAAACUACUUGUACAUUCUGUUGGUCGGCCUGCCCUGAAAGGUUUGUUUUUAGGCUUACGUUAUAGCACUGUCUGGCCUCCUUCUAGUCAGCGUGGAUGGUUGCAACUUUGUUAUCAUGUGAAGAAAACUUGACACAUAAGUAUAUAGUGGAGACAAUAGCAUAAAAAGUUGUUUAAGAAGGUCUGCCUAAAAUUAUAUUAUAUGGAGCCAAUUAGCCGCUACAUAUUUGGUCCUCUGAUGAACUUGGAAAAAUGUUUGUAGUACGUAAUCAUCUUAUGCAAAUAAAAAAUAUAUGAGAAAGUUUAGGAAUCGAUCGAUCGAUCUAUCUAUCUAUCUGUAUUAGAAUUCUCGUAUAACCAUUGCUGACGUGAAAUUUUUUGAUAUUUUUGGGGUUUCUAAAAAAGAAAAUUUGUUCAAUUUCAAAUUUCUCAACGAUCAUGUGUUGAUGCCAAUUUUCCAGAGGUGGGUUGUAUUUUACUUGGUUUGAAGAUAGACUAAUUCUACCAUGUAGAAGAAAAAUAUUUUCAUGUGUAGAAGUAGACAUGUCAAGUAGAUAUGCAAUCGUUGCUAAGCGCAGCAAUGAUAUCCUUUUGCAGUGGGGUUAUUAUGUAUCCUUUGAGCCAGACAAGAGACGGACAAAAUGUGUAGUGUCACAGAAGUUGCAGUUGGUCAGGAAGUUGUAGUUAGGAGAUUAAGCAGUGGGUUAAGCAAAUUGAAUUUGAAGAUAAUUGUAGUAGGUUAAAUGAGGUGAUGAUGUCAGUUGGACCGGUCGGAUGAAUAGAAAAUUUGUUUGUGGAUGGGCUACUAGAUUGCAUAAGUUGGGCCUAAGAAGCAAUGGGAUGCGAAGAGGAGAGCCAUGCUUGUAAUUAAAAUCCAGUAUGUGGUGAUAUGCAUCUUUUGGGGAUGCCUUGUUAAAAUCGGUGUAUUCCAUACACAUCCUCUACUUACUUUUGUGUUUUUUAACCAUGAUCACAUUUGCUAGCCAACUGGUGAAUUUGAGUUCCUUUAUGAACCCAGCAUUGAGUAGUUUUUGAGUUUCUGCUAAGAAAGUUUCCCUCUUGUCUGUACCAAGUUGGAGUUUCUUUUGAGCUAUAGGUCGGAUUGCUGGGUUGAUGGCAACUUUGGGGUAGAUGACAUUUGGGUCAAUGCCUGACAUGUCUUCCGGAGUCCAGACAAAUAGGUCGAUGUUUUGUUGUAGUAAUGUAAUAAAGUGUUCCUUUUCUUGCCCUUGUAAAGCUUCCCCAAUAUAGGUGUGUUUGUCUUCAUCGGUUGACAAUUUUAUUUUCGUUAACGAGUCGGUAGGCAUAAGUCAGUCUUGCUAGUUUGUCUGAGGAUCCAGGUCUGACAUAGCAAGCAGACUCUCUGAGUAAUAAACUGCUUGUACAUACUACUGGUCGGCCUGCCCUGAAGGGUUUGUUUUUAGGCUUGCAUUAUAGCAUUGUCUGGCCUCCUUCUAGUCAGCAUGGAUGGUUACAACUUUGUUAUCAUGUGAAGAAAACUUAACACACAGGUAUAUAGUGGAGACAAUAGCAUGAAAAGCAGUUUAAGAAGGUCUGCCUAAAAUGAUAUUAUAUGGGCUUUUCAGUCCACGACCAGGUAUUGAAUAUCUAGAGUUUACAAUUAAGGCAAUUCCCUAAUGUUGUUUGUAACCAUAUAUAACCUCAGAUUGAAACGCGCUCACCUAAAAAACCUACCAGUUUUCCUGUAGAUGGUUGCAGAGCUUUGUCACCCAGCUUCAUCUUUUGGUAUAUAGAAUAAAACAAUACGUCGGCGUUGCUGCCUGGGUCUAUAACGGCUUUCUUCACCAAUGGCUCGCUGACUUGAAGUGAUAUAACUACAGGGUUGUCCAGGUUUUUGUCUAUUGUUUUGCAGUUCGAAGGAUUGAAUAUGACGUCUAGGACAUCCAUGUUGGUGGUAUAGGUCGGUUCAAAGUUGGUGACUGACAUCAUGGCUCUAUAGGACCAAUUUUUGGCCAAGUUGCUACAUCCUUCAUCUGCGAAACUGCCAGAAAUACAAUUAAUAAUUCUGGGAGGUGGGUUAGGAUUUUUGUCUACCUUUUUUCCUUUGUCUCUAUAAUUGUCAUGUGAUUUGGGCCCGAGGUCUUCUGCAUUUUGCCGGUGUCCUCGGUUGUCAAUGUAUUUGUCCAACAAGCCUUAGUGAGCUAGCUUUUCGAGUAGGUUUUUUGCUAUAACGAAUAUAUAUGUGGUAUGUCCAUACUUUUGAUGAAAAAUGUAAUAUUUAGACUUGUCCACAUAUCAUUGGUCUUGGUAUUGUGAAAAAUAUGCCAAGUCAGAAGGUAUUGGAGCUACUCAGGAAGAAAAUUCUAGUGACGAUGAGCUAAGUGAAGAAGAAUAUGAUGCCUCUAGUGAUGACGCCAUUGCGGGAAAACCUGAUCCUUAGAUGUUCACUCACAUUACCUGCAUUAUUCACUGUGUUGCUUGUACAUAAUUUGUUAUUGAGUACUGGAUUUGAAAGACACAAAAUUGCAAGGUUGAAGGGAAAAAAAUUUAACCUUUCUUUCUAUUCCAUUGACCAUGGUGGUUGUGUAAAUUGAUUUAUAAUUCAGAAAAUUACUUUUUCUGACAUAAGGUUACAAUUUCUGAAAGUUCAUCCUGGAUUUGCAUAUCAAUACAUUUAUUAGAGUUUCAAUUAAACUGUGUUUUCUCAUUCUCCUUUCUUUUAAAUUGAGUCGAAAUGGUUAUAUUUAAUCUUGAAUUUAGC
rnacentral:lncRNA from 1 species